rnacentral:rRNA from 1 species
UACAGAGGGUGCAAGCGUUGUCCGGAAUCAUUGGGCGUAAAGCGCGUGUAGGCGGUUCGGUAAGUCCGCUGUGAAAGUCGGGGGCUCAACCCUCGAAAGCCGGUGGAUACUGUCGGACUAGAGUACGGAAGAGGCGAGUGGAAUUCCUGGUGUAGCGGUGAAAUGCGCAGAUAUCAGGAGGAACACCAAUUGCGAAGGCAGCUCGCUGGGACGUUACUGACGCUGAGACGCGAAAGCGUGGGGAGCAAACAGG